GAGUUUGAUCGUGGCUCAGAUUGAACGCUGGCGGCAUGCCUAACACAUGCAAGUCGAACGGCAGCACUGGGAGCUUGCUCCCUGGUGGCGAGUGGCGGACGGGUGAGUAACGCGUAGGAAUCUGCCUCAUAGCGGGGGACAACUCGGGAAACUCGAGCUAAUACCGCAUACUACUCGAGAGAGGAAAGCAGGGGACCUUCGGGCCGUUGCACUAUGAGAUGAGCCUGCGUUGGAUUAGCUAGUUGGUAGGGUAAA
rnacentral:rRNA from 1 species